rnacentral:rRNA from 1 species
AAGACCUUGCGCUUUUGGAGCGGCCGAUGUCUGAUUAGCUUGUUGGUAAGGUAAAAGCUUACCAAGGCUUCGAUCAGUAGCUGGUCUGAGAGGACGGCCAGCCACACUGGGACUGAGACACGGCCCAGACUCCUACGGGAGGCAGCAGUGGGGAAUUUUGGACAAUGGGCGCAAGCCUGAUCCAGCCAUGCCGCGUGAGUGAAGAAGGCCUUCGGGUUGUAAAGCUCUUUCAGCCGGGAAGAAAAGGUUGCGACUAAUAAUCGCAAUCCAUGACGGUACCGAAAGAAGAAGCACCGGCUAACUACGUGCCAGCAGCCGCGGUAAUACGUAGGGUGCGAGCGUUAAUCGGAAUUACUGGGCGUAAAGGGUGCGCAGGCGGUUUUGUAAGUCAGAUGUGAAAUCCCCGGGCUUAACCUGGGAACU